GACGAACGCUGGCGGCGUGCUUAACACAUGCAAGUCGAACGGUAAGGCCCUUUCGGGGGUACACGAGUGGCGAACGGGUGAGUAACACGUGAGUAACCUGCCCUUGACUCUGGGAUAACGCUUGGAAACGAGUGCUAAUACCGGAUAUUCAGCCUUCCCUGCAUGGGGGUGGUUGGAAAGCUCCGGCGGUCAGGGAUGGACUCGCGGCCUAUCAGCUUGUUGGUGAGGUAGUGGCUCACCAAGGCUUCGACGGGUAGCCGGCCUGAGAGGGCGACCGGCGACAUUGGGACUGAGAUACGGCCCAAACUCCUACGGGAGGCAGCAGUGGGGAAUAUUGCACAAUGGGCGGAAGCCUGAUGCAGCAACGCCGCGUGCGGGAUGACGGCCUUCGGGUUGUAAACCGCUUUCAUCCAUGACGAAGCGAGAGUGACGGUAGUGGGAGAAGAAGCACCGGCUAACUACGUGCCAGCAGCCGCAGUAACAC
rnacentral:rRNA from 1 species